UUUCCGUUCUACUUCUAUCCCUCCUCUCUCCUCUCCCGCUUCCAUGGCAUCCCCUUCUCGCUCCUCCCCCGUCACCUUCUCCGGUGGCGCCGUAUCCGCCGGAGACGACUCCGACCGUCUCCCGCGCCUCCUCUUCGCCGCCCUCAAGGCCCGAAAAGGAGACAUGAAAAAGCGGCUUGGAACCGCUGACCUUUAUCAUUUUAUUGUUGCGGCUGUGUUGGUUUAUUACUGCGGAUGAGAUGGUGUAUGAUUUUUUGUAUAGAAGUCGUCAUGAUCUCUCCAGAGGCAUUAACUUGUCUACCAAACUCUCUUCACAGUGGCAUAUCUCAUGCACGAGUUGUUGACAGUUUCAACAAUUAUCAGCAACCAUAAAGCCUUGCCUCAUCUGUAUACUUCUCAAAAUUGUGAGGAGUGCUCGUAUUUGCUUAACUACCACCAUAUCUCGAACUGCUGACUGCUCAUCAUCUAGGUAGAAGCAUUUCCCAUUUAUGUGUAUAUGGCAUCCGUGCAAGUUUAAAUAUCUCCAAUUUUUAUCUUUGUUAAGUUAUCAACUUUAGACCAGAAAUCUUCCUUUCUGAUGGAUUUGAUUUGGUUACCUUGGAGGUAUCAAAUACUUCAAAGUAUUUUGAAAAGCAGCCUUCUACUUAGAUACAGGCAUUUGUUAAAAUAUGAGAUGCUGUUUCUCGUGUCAAGCUUGGUAAUAUACUCAUCUGUGUUGAUCAAAGUAAUGUAACUAUAGUUCUGUGCUCA